rnacentral:rRNA from 1 species
AUUGAACGCUGGCGGCAGGCCUAACACAUGCAAGUCGAACGAGUGGCGGACGGGUGAGUAAUGUCUGGGAAACUGCCUGAUGGAGGGGGCUAACUACUGUAACCGGUAGCUAAUACCGCAUACCAUCGGAUGUGCCCAGAGGGGAUUAGCUAGUAGGUGGGGUAAAGGCUCACCUAGGCGACGAUCCCUAGCUGGUCUGAGAGGAUGACCAGCCACACUGGAACUGAGACACGGUCCAGACUCCUACGGGAGGCAGCAGUGGGGAAUAUUGGACAAUGGGCGAAAGCCUGAUGGAGCCAUGCCGCGUGUAUGAAGAAGGCCUUCGGGUUGUAAAGUACUUUCAGCGGGGAGGCGUUACCCGAAGAAGAAGCACCGGCUAACUCCGUGCCAGCAGCCGCGGUAAUUC